GUCAGUGACAAAUGCUGGCUGCAAUCCAGCCAGCCCUCUGCCCUUUCUGAGCCCGAGGGACUGCCACCUCCACUGUGUGCACGCUCAGCUACGGGACACAAACAAAGAACAGCCACCAUGCAGCUCUUCCUCCUCUUGUGCCUGGUGCUUCUCAGCCCUCAGGGGGCCUCCCUUCACCGCCACCACCCCCGGGAGAUGAAGAAGAGAGUCGAGGACCUCCAUGUAGGUGCCACGGUGGCCCCCAGCAGCAGAAGGGACUUUACCUUCGACCUCUACAGGGCCUUGGCUUCCGCUGCCCCCAGCCAGAACAUCUUCUUCUCCCCUGUGAGCAUCUCCAUGAGCCUGGCCAUGCUCUCCCUGGGGGCUGGGUCCAGCACAAAGAUGCAGAUCCUGGAGGGUCUGGGCCUCAACCUCCAGAAAAGCUCAGAGGAGGAGCUGCACAGAGGCUUUCAGCAGCUCCUUCAGGAACUCAACCAGCCCAGAGAUGGCUUCCAGCUGAGCCUCGGCAACGCCCUUUUCACCGACCUGGUGGUGGACCUGCAGGACACCUUCGUAAGUGCCAUGAAGACGCUGUACCUGGCAGACACUUUCCCCACCAACUUUAGGGACUCUGCAGGGGCCAUGAAGCAGAUCAAUGAUUAUGUGGCAAAGCAAACGAAGGGCAAGAUUGUGGACUUGCUUAAGAACCUCGAUAGCAAUGCGGUCGUGAUCAUGGUGAAUUACAUCUUCUUUAAAGCUAAGUGGGAGACAAGCUUCAACCACAAAGGCACCCAAGAGCAAGACUUCUACGUGACCUCGGAGACUGUGGUGCGGGUACCCAUGAUGAGCCGCGAGGAUCAGUAUCACUACCUCCUGGACCGGAACCUCUCUUGCAGGGUGGUGGGGGUCCCCUACCAAGGCAAUGCCACGGCUUUGUUCAUUCUCCCCAGUGAGGGAAAGAUGCAGCAGGUGGAGAAUGGACUGAGUGAGAAAACGCUGAGGAAGUGGCUUAAGAUGUUCAAAAAGAGGUACUUUCAGACUACCCCAGGGCCAGCCUAACCCCACACAGCCCCAGGGAGACACACACGCCCUACCAGGGCCACACAGCACUGGUGGGAAGGACUCACCCAGCCAAGGAGCUGCCUCCAGGCCCAGAGGCAUCCUUUGACAUCCAGGUCCUGGGGGCCUAGCCCAGUUGGAGGGACAAGAGCUGGAAACUGGGUUCCUUAGGGUGGUGCCAGAGUGGGCAGAGACCUCUGGGCAGCCCACGUCCAAGUCCAGAGCAAGGGGAGGCUCAUCCUAGAAAAGAGACCAGAGGAGCCAUAACCACCAUUGUUCCUUGGGUUAAGGAGUCCUUUUUUAAAACCAUCAAAACUAAGAAUCCAGUGCAUUAUGAAGCCAAGGGGUGAGGCUCAGUGUGCCAAUGCCCCAGAACAGUCUAAGAAAGCUCCUUUUCCCUUUCCAGGCAGCUCGAGCUUUACCUU
rnacentral:sRNA from 1 species